GACAGAGGAUGCAAGCGUUAUCCGGAAUUAUUGGGCGUAAAGAGCUCGUAGGCGGUUUGUCGCGUCUGCCGUGAAAGUCCGGGGCUCAACUCCGGAUCUGCGGCGGGUACGGGCAGACUAGAGUGAUGUAGGGGAGACUGGAAUUCCUGGUGUAGCGGUGAAAUGCGCAGAUAUCAGGAGGAACACCGAUGGCGAAGGCAGGUCUCUGGGCAUUAACUGACGCUGAGGAGCGAAAGCAUGGGGAGCGAACAGG
rnacentral:rRNA from 1 species